UACGGAGGGGGCGAGCGUUGUCCGAAUGUACUGGGCGUAAAGCGCGCGUAGGCGGGUUGCUAAGUCCGCUGUGAAAGCCCGAGGCUCAACCUCGGAGGGUCGGUGGAUACUGGCAGCCUUGAAGGUGGUAGGGGGAGAUGGAAUUACCGGUGUAGCGGUGAAAUGCGUAGAGAUCGGUAGGAACACCAGUGGCGAAGGCGGUCUCCUGGCCCACUCUUGACGCUGAGGCGCGAAAGCUGGGGGAGCGAACGGG
rnacentral:rRNA from 1 species